GCUUUAUACGUGCAAGGAACUAAUGCAGAAAGACAUUAUGGGUAAGUCAAGGGAGAUGCCCCAGCCAUUGGGCAAAUUCCUCUGACUCCUCCCUGAUGGAACUAAUUCUUUUUCUUCUGUGCCCGGAUCCUAGAAUCAAGAUUCUUAAGGUCUGAGUACAAGUUCCGCUUCAGGAUGGCGCUGCUGCACAGCAGGGCACCUUGCAGG
rnacentral:lncRNA from 1 species